rnacentral:rRNA from 1 species
UGCCAGCAGCCGCGUUAAUACGGAGGGUGCAAGCGUUAAUCGGAAUUACUGGGCGUAAAGCGCGCGUAGGUGGCCAAGUCAGUCAGAUGUGAAAGCCCUGGGCUCAACCUGGGAACUGCAUCUGAUACUGCUUGGCUAGAGUAUGGUAGAGGGGUGUGGAAUUUCCUGUGUAGCGGUGAAAUGCGUAGAUAUCGGAAGGAACACCGGUGGCGAAGGCGACUUCCUGGACUGUAACUGACACUGAGGCACGAAAGCGUGGGGAGCAAACAGGAUUAGAUA